AGAAUCAACGCUGGCGGCGUGCCUAACACAUGCAAGUCGAACGAGAAAGUGGAGCAAUCCAUGAGUAAAGUGGCGACCGGGUGAGUAACACGUGACUAACCUACCUUCGAGUGGGGGAUAACCUCGGGAAACCGAGGCUAAUACCGCAUAACAUCGUGAGAUCAAAGCAGUAAUGCGCUGGAAGAGGGGGUCGCGGCUGAUUAGCUAGUUGGCGGGUAAUGGCCCACAAGGCGAAGAUCGGUAGCCGGCCUGAGAGGGCGCACGGCCGACACUGGAACUGAAACACGGUCCAGACUCCUACGGGAGGCAGCAGUGGGGAAUUUUGCGCAAUGGGGGAAACCCUGACGCAGCAACGCCGCGUGGAGGAUGAAGUCCCUUGGGACGUAAACUCCUUUCGACCAAGACGAUAAUGACGGUACUGGUGGAAGAAGCCCCGGCUAACUUCGUGCCAGCAGCCGC
rnacentral:rRNA from 1 species